UUUUUUUUUUUUUUUUUUGCCUUUACUAGGGCCCCUCCUCCUGGGAACCUCCAUAUGCCUCGGGUGUGGCCCCAGAAAAGACAAAAAAUAAAAAUUAAAAAAAUACAUACAUAAAAAAAGAAAGAAAAAGUUGUCCAGCCUUCACCACUGUCUGUGACAGAACAUGUCACGCCCCAGAAAGCACCCCCACCCAUUAGCAGUCACUUCUUUCUCCCAACCUCCCCCCCCCCCCUCCCCCGCCCCAAGUCACUAAUCUAUUUUCUGUCUCUCUGGCUUUGCCUCUUCUGGACACGAUGUAAAUGGAAUCAUACAGUGUGUGGCCUUUUGUGCCUGGCUCAUGUCACCUGUUUUCAAAGUUUAGACUCGUGCAGCAAGUGUCGGUACUUCAGUUCUUUUCUGUUUUUGCUUUUGUGGGCCACACUGUGGCAUGUGGGAGUUCCCGGCCUGCAUCACAGCCACAGCAACGCCGGGUCCUUAACCCACCAAGACCGGAGAUUGGAGCCCCGUCCCCAUGGAAGCUAGCCGUGGACAUUUGGGCCACUUCCGCUUUGUGCUGCUGUGAAUCCUCGUUCACGUGGCUUUGCAUGGACACGUGUUUUCUGUUUUCUUGGGUCCAUACCUGGGAGUGGGAUUGCUGGCUCAGGUGUCCUUCUUUAAACUUACUGAGGAUCAGGGAGCCCGUUGUACCUGCCCAGCUGCAGUGCUGCAGGGUUCCAGUGCCCAUUUGCUCCCUGGCACUCACGCAGCCCUGUCUGAGGAUGUGUUUCUGUUACUUAUGUGUAACUCCAUCACCGAAUACGAGCCAUGUGUGCUCAGUGGCAAAUGAGACUGGCACGUGCACUGGUACAUAGUUGACCUCUAAGAAUGGGCUUUUUGUGUUUGUUUUUUUUUUUUCCCUUUUUGGCCUCCCACAGAAUGGGGAAGUUCCUGGGCCGGGGAUCAAACCUGAGCCACAGCAAUGAGAAUACCAGAUCCAUAACUGCUAGGCCACCAGGGAACUCCAGGCUUUCUGUGUUUUCAAUGCUUUGUUCUUUGAGAAAAGUCACCAUAAAAGUAUGUGGUAUUGGCUGUUACCAUUUCUGAAUGUAUGAAAACCAUUAGGGUGUGGUUAGAGGAGCCUUUCCCUUUUUCAUUCUUUUUUUUUUUUUUUCUUAAAUUAUAGUUGAUUUACAGUGUUGUGCCAGUGUCUGCCAUUGUGAGUCAGUUAUACAUAUGCAUACAUUCUUAUUUUUUAUAUUGUUUUUCAUCCUGGUCUGUCCCAGGAGAGUGGAGAUAGUUCCCUGAGCUGUACAGCAGGACCCCAUUGCUUAUCUGUUCUGAAUAAUUUGCGUCUGUUAAUCCCAGACUCCCCGUCCAUCCCACUCCCCCUUGGCAGCUACACGUCUGUUCUCUGUGUCUCUGAGUCUGUCUCUCUCUCGUAGGGAGGCUCAUUUCCGCAUGUAAGUGAUGGAAAUGGGAUUUGUCUUUCUCUCUCUGACUUGGUGCUGCUCUCUGGUUAGGCAGUGAGGUCUUUUCUUGGUGGAGCACAGCAGACGCACGUGUGUCCCCUGCCUUGGGCCAAGUAGAAGGCACUUUUGCAGCUAGGGUAGGAGUCGGGGUCCUGCGUAGGCCUGGCUUAUGAGGGUCCCAAGCUGUGCCGAGACGGGGGACCUGCCCAUGGGAACGCGGGCGCCAGCCCUUCAGCGUCUGGGAGGUGGGUUCACUCUGACGCAACAACGAGACUGAGCUGAUGAUGUUAGGAAACGAAGGAGAAGGGAAUCGUUGCUGAGUGGACGUAACGAAACGAGGUGAAGGCUAAGUGGCCUCUCACUAGAAACUGCUUUCUGCUCCGGAGAAUAGGGACGGGGGUGACCCUCGGGUUUUUAAUCCAGCCCGGAACUCUUGUUUUGAAGUCCUAAAUCUCGUUUAACUGUAACCCUAGGAUAAGAGAAAACAUGGAUGACCGCCCCGAGAUUGGACCCCCAGCCCCCGCGUGCACCUGAACUUGAGAUGAGGCAGCCCCGGCGUCUCUCCUUCCAGGUCCGUCGGCGCCCGCCGUGCUUCCCGGGCCUUUGUCUUCCCUCCUCCUGGUCGGCCGUGGUUCCCGAGCUUGGACGCUGGUUCAGAGCCCAGUGAAACAUCUGCCUCCCUGCCCUUUGCCCUGAGGAGGCGGCGAGAUGGCUUCCGCCUGCGGUUCCUCUCGGCAGGACCCCGUGUGCUGACGGCCUCCCCGGAGCCAGCGGCACUUGAGAGGGGCCUUAGGAAGGGAAAGGAAAACGAGUCCUCUUUUCUGGUGAUUCCAGACGGAAAACGUCCGCCUUUUCAAAGUGUGUCGUCUUAAAAAUGGUUUAAUACCAUCAAAGGAGACCCGGCCACAGACACGAGCUCCGUUUCUCCCUUUUGCUGUUUCCGCCCUUUUUUUUUUUUUUUAAGGGGUAAUAAUGUUUUCUAUUAUUUUUGUUCAUUUAUACCUCAAGUUUUAUAGGAUUGCGCACACUAUGUGGUAUUUCUGGUGGAAUUGUGACAAUGCCAUAUUGUCAUCCUCAUGGUUCUCAAAGCUAUUCAUUUAUUUUUUGGCUUUUUCGGGCCGCAUCUGCGGCAUAUGGAGGUUCCCAGGCUAGGGGUGGAAUCAGAGCUACAGCUGCCAGUCUACACCACAGCCACAGCAACGCCAGGUCCGAGCCACAUCUGCAACCUACAGCACAGUUCACGGCAAUGCUGGAUCCUUAACCCACUGAGGGAGGCCAGGGAUCGAACCUGCGUCCUCAUGGAUGCUAGUGGGAUUCGUUUCCUCUGAGCCACAACGGGACUCCAGCAGGGGACGUGUUCUUCUCUUCCAUGGAACCCAGGCUGCCCCACCCUGUUUGUGAUUUAAAGGCCCAGGAGUUUUCGUUUCUGACCAGGUGGGGCUGUGGACUGUUUUCAGACCCCUCAGAGUUCUUCUUCUCUGUGAGCUCACAACAAAAUUGUGAAUUCUCAAUAUUUUUUUAUUUAAGACCUGCUCAUUGAUUCUACUCCAGUAAAUUAUUGUUUCUAACUAAAACCUCUGUUGUUUUAGAACAUACUAUAGAUUAUCAUUUUCUGAUUUCUAACAAAGAAUUUGUUUUUUCAGGUCAUGUCAUCUUGUGGGAGAAGCUAUUUCAAUGAGCCGGGAGAAGCAAACCAGGACAUUGCUGUUAUCUGCGGAUACGUGGGCAUCGCGAGUCCUUGAUUCAGGUGGGUUUGUCUGCACUGCGCCCCUGCCCCCAGGCACUCCUGCUGGCCGGCUUUGGCAAAUGUGAGGGUUGCGCAACAGCCAGCACACCUCUGUGUGAACAGCAGCCCCUCCGAGUGGGAGCCACGGGAGGGUUUUUCCCCUCUCAUUUUUGUUCAGUCCCCAAGAUAGGCAGCUCCUCACUCCUAAGAAGCCUGCCUUUACUCAAGUGAGAAAAACCAUGUUUUUCCUAACACAUAUUUCUCAGCCCACGAAAAGCAGAUUUUGGGGGACGAUACAGAUGCAGGCAGUUGCUUGGAGCGUCUUCUUCCACAUGAAACGGAUGCCAAAUAGUGGGUUUCAGUUUCGUGCCAGGUCGUCCCCCUGGGGCUCAGGAUGCUAUCGCCCAGUUUUGCUCUGAUUUGGUCCUGGGACAGAAUUGGGAGCCCUGGCCCUCAUUCCCACCCCGAAGCCCGCGUGUGUGGCUCUCCGGCGCCUGGAGGGAGGGACGCCCCAGGUUGGGUUGGAGCGGUUCGCGCCCUGCAAGUCAGCAGCGGGCAGAGGCACGGGGACAUCUGCACACGUCCACGUUCAUCUUCGGUCCCUUGAGGCCUGGCACCUAAAGGAACCAGCGUGGCCACUGGCACGGGUUACAGCCCUGUCCCAGGAACUUAAGCACGCUGCCGGUGCGGCCAAGAAAUAGUUUUGAGAAGGUUCCGACUUGGGAGUUGAGUGUAUGAAGUUGAGUAACUUUAUUCCUGGACUAAACCCCGCCUGCCCAUCCGGUUGUGGGUCCGCAGUUAGUCAGCGACACCAGGUGCUGCUUUGCAGUUGUGCGUGUGAGGGUGAGAGCAGGGCUUCCCCUGCAGCCGGGACGGUUCGUGGAUCCGCCUGGACUGGGGUGCUUCCGUGCCCUGGAGAGCCCCGCUGUGCGCGGGGUCCUCACCCGGUGUGCCCUGGAGGCGAGUAACGGAGCCGGGAUGACUGGUAAUCAAGUCAAGACUGAAGUACGAGGUGUGUCCGAAUCGCUUCUCUCCGAGCCUUGUGCUCGUGAGACUGGUCCCGGCCCAGAGGAGGAGGCUCAGUGGCGUGUUGUCUGCGGCAAGGCCCUGACCUCCACACGGAGGCUGCUUGGGUCACUCGCCUGCCUCAUCUUGGGGGAGCCUCGGUGGAUUUAAGUCCUCUUCAUCCCGAAGAGGCCCGACACGUCAGAAUGAAACCCCUGCCCCCUGAGGGCGCUCCCCACCCCCACUCCCGGCUGCAGAGGCGGUGGGUUCAGGUGAGACCGGCUGGUAGCUGCAGUCUGUGUCCCUUGUAGAGAACCACUGAGAGCUGACAAGCACAUAGCGGGGCACAAAAUUCUGGUGGAAGUCAAUGCGGGUCCUUGAAAUUCGCAAGCUCACUUUUGCAGGUCCCAUUGUGGCUGAGCAGUAACGAACCUGACUAGUAUCCUUGAGGACGCAGGUUCAAUCCCUGCCCUUGCCCAGUGGGCUAAGGAUCCUGUGUUGCUGUGGCUAUGGUGGAGGCCGGCAGCUAUAACCCUGAAUAGACCCCUAGCCCGGGAACUUCCAUAUGCUGCAGGUGUGGCCAUAAAAAAGACCAAAAAAAA
rnacentral:lncRNA from 1 species